GAGGGACUCAGUCCCUACCUAGACUCCUUGCCCAGCAGGCCCUGGGCUGCUCACCCCACCAAGGGCAUGUGUGGGUGAUUGCCUGGGGGGGAUGGCCCUCCUGAUGUGAAGAGUGGGAUGUUAUCCACCGCCUAAGGGUCCUGGCACCAGGUGCCUGCUUCCCAGCUCAGGGCUUCCCAGAGAAAAUGUAUUUUCCGAGGACCAUGCCCUACUGCGGGGGCCAGCACCCUCAUGGUCACAGAGCCACACACAUCAGCGCCAUUAUGCUUUAUUCAACUCUGUUCUCAUAUCUGGUUUUGCCUUGAGCCCAUGACCUUCACCCACUUUUCCUACAGCGUUCUGCCUCCCAACUUGCACCAGGGCCCGCAGCCUGCCCGCCCUAUCCUUGCAGCCUUAACUUAAACCAACUGACUGUGGACACCCCUUUUCCCUGCGCUGUACUCCCACCAGACCAGGAGCCCUCUGAGUGAGGGGUCUGAUUGUAGAAUCAACUUGUUCUUUGUAGUUCCCAGUGUGGAUGUUGUUUUUAACAUACAUCAAAUUUAAUCUUCCUUAAACCUGUGUCACAAGAAAACAGGAGACAGUAAUCCUGCCAUCAGGGGCUCUUGGGAAAUGUAAGUGAGAUGAAGGUUGACAUACCUACACCUUUAGGAGGUGGAUAUUCUUGUUAUCUGUAUUUCACAGAUAAGCACAUUGGGGCUCAGAGAAGCUUGAUGAGUUGUCCAAGGUCACACAGCAGAGAAAUGGAAGGGCUGCAAUUCGAAUGAAUGCUCCCCUAACGGUUCCACUCUCCAGCUUUGGGGGAUGUGUGGUUUGGUUGGAAGUAGGGAUAUGGAAGUCAUGUUGUGGAGUCAGGAAAGGCUUCUUUGCCUGCUUAACUUGAAGCAGGCAGUCCGGCAGGAUGUCAGAAAGGAGAAAUAGUGGGAAGAGGCAUGCCUGAUGUCAGGGGACUCUUCGGGAGAAGACACGGCUUUGUCCUCGCCUGAUGCAUUCUGGGAGAGGAGGCAACCUCAGGCACAGGAACGGCAGUGUGAGGUCUGGUAGAGAAGCGCAUAGUGGUGAAGGAGGCCUGAGAUCACAGGGUCUGAAGGUAGGACAGCCAUGGGAGAUGGGUGGUGGCGGUGAUUCCAUCCAGCCCCCUACUCUUCACACCCUGGUCUCCAAGGCAGGGAUGGAGAAUGCCACCUGCCACCCUCUUCACACCUGGGCUGGGGCCCGGCCCAUAGACAGCCCUAGGCUUCAGCCACCUCUGCCCCCUGGCCCAGCAGCAGACCCAGCUGGCUCACCUUCUCAAUCAAUACCGCGCUCUUAAUGGGCCCAGCCACCAGCACCAACCAGGGGCAUUAAAUGUUAAUUAUAUCUAUUUGGAUUUGAAAAAUUUUAUUACUCCAGUUAAUUAUGGCUGGAGUCAUAAAAAGGUUUCAGAGUGAAAAGGCUGCCUUAUUGGGGCCACUUUCCCCAAGACAGAUUGGAAAGGAAAAGAAGAAAUAAAAGCAUCUGGCUCAAAGGCCCGGGUGCUCCACAUCCACCAGGCUGGGAGCCCUGGGCUCGGGCCUUGCAUCUUCCAGCUUCAGGUGAGCUUGAAGUGUGGGGCCCAGGAUACUGGAGAGGCCAAUCUUGGGAGGACACCCACGUGUGUGAGUGUUGCUGUCAAUAGAGAAAGGCCCCCUGGCAGCGGAGGCUCCAGGGAAACUGCAACCCUGCUGAGAUCAGCCAGACUCUUUGAGGUCUGGGAAUGCUGGCUAUGCCCAGGGUUCCUCUCCAAGUGGUCCUAUUACUGGGCACUCCUCCAGCCCAGCUCCCCGCCCUGGCCUGGCCCCACCCAGCCCAGUCUGAUUGCUUCCUGCCAGCCCCCGCUUAUGAUUCAUGGGCCUGACCUUGGGCUAUAAAGUGUUCACUUUAGCAGGAAUAGAGGCAGGAUUUACAGCCCUAGGGUCAGCUGUAGGCAAUGACACACACAAUAGCUGACUCACAAGGGUGCCCCGUUCCCAUCCUACACAUAACUUUCCUUUGCACACACAGGUACACACACACACAUUUUGACAGAGACACGCGUGCACUCCCAUGUCCCAGAGCUCUCUGCCUCAUGCAUCCGGUAAUGUGAGUUCCCUUUGUGGAGCAAGCGCUGUACAUAAGAUGCUUUACAAGCAUUUGUCUAAUCCUUAACAUUGAUCCCGUAAGGUCGGAGCUGGUAUUACUCAUUUUAUAGGAGAGGAUGCACAUUAAGGCUCAGACGGGUUAUGUGAUCUGAGCAUUUGUACCUACAAGAGUACCUACAAGUUGGACAGAGAACCUCACGCCCCAAACUCCUAGCUAGGGAAAUAGUGAUUCCAUGGAAGAGCUGGGCUGCAGCAGCCUGGGGUGGGGUCAGAGAGGCCAGCUCAUUCCCUCUCCCUCUUCCCCAUCAGAGGAGUUGGAGGCUGGUUCAGAGGAAGAGUGAAUAUUCCAGAGGAUAUUAGAAGGGGGAAUAAAAAACCAGGAGAGGAACGCCUUAACCCAGAUAUGAGAAUGGGAUGUCGCACUACAUAAACUUUUUAAAACCAGAAGUAAUUGGGAAACAGAGGGAGAAUUUGCCCAUAUUGUUCAAGUUUCAACCAUGCAUCCAAGAAAGGGUAUUUGACAGGGUGUAGUUGGUAGAGAUUGGAGGGGGUGAGCAUUUCAAUUUGUACCUCUCUACUUUGGCUAUUCCAUGAACUGUUUUUAUUAUCAUUAUUGUCAUUUUUACUCUGUUGCUGAGAUGUCCAUGUACAAGAAAUCCUCCCUCCCCCAACUCCUCUUCAGGUCAAAUGCCAUUUGCUUCUACUUGGCUCCUUCCAUCUAUCAGGCCUCAGAGUCUCUGCCUUUUCUCCCAAACCAGCGCCUCUUGUCCUCUAGAGCCAUCCCCUCAGUCUUCAGCAGGGACUUCACCCUCACAUCUACUUCUCUGGCUCUUGUGCAUUGUCCCUAGCUAGUCCUUUCUCUUCUUUUCAAACUCCUGUGUAAUUUCUCUCUUAAAGUAGCCAGCCAGGGACUUCCCUAAUGGUCCAGUGGUUGAGAAUCUGCCUUCCAAUGCAGGGGACGCAGGUUUGAUCCCUGGUUGGGGAACUAAGAUCCUACACACCAUGGGCCAGCUGAGCCCGUGCACCACAACCAGAGAGCCUGCUCGGCGCAACUGCUUAGCCUGCACGAUCUAGGGUCUGUGCUCCGCAACAAGAGAAGACCGUAUUGCAACUAGGGAAAGCCUGUGCCCUCAACCAAGAGCCCACAUGCCGCAAGGAAUACCCAGUGCAGCCAAAACUAAAAAAAAAAUAAUAAUGACCAGGCCUUCCCAUGAUCUUUUUCCCUCUCUAAUUUCUUUCUGUCUUCUCAUCUUCCUCUUGGAAUAAGGGGCUCGUGGGCUCCUUCUCACAGCAUCCUUGUCUCUUCCUCAAGGCUCCGCUCUGUCCUCUCCCUAUCCCUCCCUCCUCUUCAGCAGACGUGACUCCAGUACAUUGUCACCCCUUCCCAGUUCCUCCGACUUGAAGUUCACUCCUGUGCUCUUUGCUCUGGGAGAAUCUAUCUUCUCACGCUUGAGGACUUCAACUUCCCCUCCCAGAUGUGCCUCCAAUUAGAUGUCUAUCCUAAACUCCAUCUGAAUUGUCAACUGCCCAAAGGAGGUAUCUUUGUGGAGGCUCUGCUUUCCCCUCAAAUGAAAUACUCUCUAAGUGGAAAUAAUUAUCUUCUCUUCAAAAUGGCUUCCUUUCCUCCCCUUCAUUUCUAUCUAUUAAAUAACUACUGUUCUGAUCCUCUAGCCUCCCUAAACCCAGAGCAAAUUGAUUCAAUGAACACACUGAGCAAAGAUUUUCCAGGUAAUCACCAUGUGCAAGCUCCAGUAUUUUGGCCACAUGAUGUGAAGAGCCAACUCAUUGGAAAAGACCCUGAUGCUGUGUUUGGAAGAGAGCUGGGUCUACAGAGAAAGGAUCAUUGUCGGAGCCAGGCCUUGGAGGGGACAUGAGUAAAUUGGACCCCAAACACCAGAAGAGGGAACAAUUCCUGCCCAUAAGGGUUAUUCAUCUGUUGGAGGGACAGAUGGGUUAAACAGACAAUGGCAAACUUACUAGGGAAGAACUGAGCUACAGACAGCACCAGCGGCUGGGAAGCCAGGAGAAGGGAAAUGCCCCCUUACAACCAUCUUUGCUUAGAGCCAGUUGGCCUGGAGGGCAGCUCAGUCGGUAAAGAAUCUGCCUGCAAUGCAGGAGACCUGUGUUGGAUCCCUGGGUCUGGAAGAUCCCCUGGAGAAAAGGAAUGAUUACCCACUCCAGUAUUCUUGCCUGGAGAAUUCCAUGGACAGAGGAGGCUGGCAGGCUACAGUCCAUGGGGUUGCAAAGAGUCAGACAUGACUGGGCGACUUUCAUCAUCAUCACCUCCUACUGUAACUGGAAAGGAUGAAAGAUACCGUAUGUGAAGAAAUCAGCAUUAGUCUUCAGUUCAGUGUUAACUAUGCAAUUAUCAUUUUAUUCCGCUUAUGUCAUAAUUUGUUUACUUGUCUAUGUCUCUCACCAUUUAUCCAUUCAUUCAGAAAUCCAAUAAAUCUUCACUGAGAAGUUACCCUGUGUCAGACACAAUUUGGCAUGCGAGGCACACACCUUAAAACACACAAAAAAUCCAGGGAAAUCAGUGCUUGGGGAGGGGAGUGUA